AAUCCCAGCAGGGGAUUGAAAUCCCGGCAGGGGAUUGAAAUCCCGGCAGAUGAUUGAAGUCCCGACAGAGCAUUGAAAUCACAGUGGAGCAUUGAAAUCCCGACAGAGGAUUGAAAUCCCGGCAGGGGAUUGAAAUCCCGGCAGAGCAGUGAAAUCCCGACAGAGCAGUGAAAUCACAGUGGAGCAUUGAAAUCAUGUCAGAGCAUUGGAGUCAUGCCAGAGCAUUGAAAUCGUGCCAGAGCAUUGGAGUCACGGACGGUGGCAGAGCAUAGGAAUCACGGACGGUGGCAGAGCAUUGAAAUCACGGACGGCGGCAGAGCAUAGGGAUCACGGACGGUGGCAGAGCAUUGGGAUCACGGACGGCGGCAGAGCAUUGGGAUCACGGACGGCGGCAGAGCAUUGGGAUCACGGACGGUGCACUCCUUUGUAUGCAUCCUUUGCUGCUUCCCAUCCAAGCAUUCCUUCGCUGCUUCCCAUCCAAGCAUUCCUUUGCUGCUUCCCAUCCAAGCUUGAGCACUCUGCGCGGAGCAUGGAAGACCCGGGGGGUGCAACCAACUUUCGCGGCUUACGAUUAAAUAGUAACCCUCUGCGCGGAGCAUGGAGGACCCGGGGGUGCAACCAACUUUCGCGGCUUACGAUUAAAUAGUAACCCUCUGCGCGGAGCAUGGAAGACCCGGGGGGUGCAACCAA
rnacentral:lncRNA from 1 species